UUGCUUGCUUCUGAGGCACAUAUACCCAAAUUGGAGUGACACAGAGAAGAUUAGCAUGGUCCCUGCACAAGGAUGAUGAAGUAUAAUAUGUAGCAGCAAUAU
rnacentral:snRNA from 1 species